rnacentral:rRNA from 1 species
UACGUAGGGGCAAGCGUUGUCCGGAAUCAUUGGGCGUAAAGCGCGCGUAGGCGGCCAGAUAAGUCCGGUGUGAAAGUCACAGGCUCAACCUGUGAAUGCCGCUGGAAACUGUCUGGCUCGAGUCCGGGAGGGGCGAGUGGAAUUCCUGGUGUAGCGGUGAAAUGCGCAGAUAUCAGGAGGAACACCAAUGGCGAAGGCAGCUCGCUGGAACGGUACUGACGCUGAGGCGCGAAAGCGUGGGGAGCGAACAGG